CGGACGGGUGAGUAACGCGUGGGUAACCUGCCUUACACAGGGGGAUAACACUUAGAAAUAGGUGCUAAUACCGCAUGAGCGCACAGGACCGCAUGGUCGAGUGUGAAAAACUGAGGUGGUGUAAGAUGGACCCGCGUCUGAUUAGCUAGUUGGUGAGGUAACGGCCCACCAAGGCGACGAUCAGUAGCCGGCCUGAGAGGGGUGGACGGCCACAUUGGGACUGAGACACGGCCCAAACUCCUACGGAAGGCAGCAG
rnacentral:rRNA from 1 species